CCAAUAGCGUAUAUUAAAGUUGUUGCAGUUAAAAAGCUCGUAGUUGAACCUCGGGGUCUACCCAUUGGUCAGGCUUAAUUGUCUGCACUGGUGAGAUGGAUCUCUACCUUCUGAGGAACUUUCAUGCCAUUUAUUUGGUGUGAUGGGAAAUCAGGACUGUUACUUUGAAAAAAUUAGAGUGUUUAAAGCAGACUAUCGUCUGAAUACAUUAGCAUGGAAUAAUGAAAUAGGACGUUGACCCUAUUUUGUUGGUUUCUAGGAUUGACGUAAUGAUUAAUAGGGAUAGUUGGGGGCAUUAGUAUUCAAUUGUCAGAGGUGAAAUUCUUGGAUUUAUUGAAGACUAACUACUGCGAAAGCAGUUGCCAAGGAUGUUUUCAUUAAUCAAGAACGAAAGUUAGGGGAUCGAAGACGAUCAGAUACCGUCGUAGUCUUAACCAUAAACUAUGCCGACUAGGGAUCGGAUGAUGUUAUUUUUAAUGACUCAUUCGGCGCCUUACG
rnacentral:misc_RNA from 1 species